rnacentral:rRNA from 1 species
GUCUUAGGCCACGCCACCCUGAACAAGCCCGAUGUCUCUCUUGGAAGCUAAGCAAGGUUGGGUCUGGCUAGUACUUGGAUGGGAGACCACCUAGAAAGACCAGG